rnacentral:rRNA from 1 species
AUUGAACGCUGGCGGCAGGCUUAACACAUGCAAGUCGAGCGGGGUGAUGGUGCUUGCACUAUCACUUAGCGGCGGACGGGUGAGUAAUGCUUAGGAAUCUGCCUAUUAGUGGGGGACAACAUCUCGAAAGGGAUGCUAAUACCGCAUACGUCCUACGGGAGAAAGCAGGGGAUCACCUGUGACCUUGCGCUAAUAGAUGAGCCUAGGUCGGAUUAGCUAGUUGGUGGGGUAACGGCCUACCAAGGCGACGAUCUGUAGCGGGUCUGGGAGGAUGAUCCGCCACACUGGGACGGAGACACGGCCCAGACUGCUACGGGAGGCAGCAGUGGGGAAUAUUGGACAAUGGGGGGAACCCUGAUCCAGCCAUGCCGCGUGUGUGAAGAAGGCCUUAUGGUUGUAAAGCACUUUAAGCGAGGAGGAGGCUCUUUUGGUUAAUACCCAAGAUGAGUGGACGUUACUCGCAGAAUAAGCACCGGCUAACUCUGUGCCAGCAGCCGCAGUAA